rnacentral:rRNA from 1 species
UCGGGUUAGUCCUUGNCNGAGCGCACCCCUGUCCCUAGUUGCCAGCGAGUCAAGUCGGGGACUCUAGGGAGACUGCCGGUGUUAAACCGGAGGAAGGCGGGGAUGACGUCAAGUCCUCAUGGCCUUUAUGACUAGGGCUGCACACGUCCUACAAUGGCGCGUACAAAGGGAAGCAAAAUCGUGAGGUCGAGCAAACCCCAAAAAGCGCGCCCCAGUUCGGAUUGCAGGCUGCAACUCGCCUGCAUGAAGCCGGAAUCGCUAGUAAUCGCGGGUCAGCAUACCGCGGUGAAUGUGUUCCUGAGCCUUGUACACACCGCCCGUCAAGCCACGAAAGUGGGGGGGGCCCGAAGUCGCUGAGCUAACCCGCAAGGGAGGCAAGCGCCUAAGGUCAACUCCGCGAUUGGGACUAAGUCGUAACAAGGUAACCA